CCAAAGUUUCCCAGCCAGAAGAGGGAUGUGUGACACAGCAGCAUUGGCUUUUUGGUAUGAAGUAGUGAUGCGCCCACUGCUGACAAAAAGAAGUCUUUGUUUCCUGGCUCUGAUGAUGUUUCCUUAAAGAAGAUGCUGUGUGCUUGUUCUACAGCUGCCUGUGGCCAUCAGGAAUGGAUGCACAUGGAAGAAUCUGGGCAAACACACAUCUGACUGGCACUCUCAGGGACAAGUCAUCCCCCUUUUCUGGGGAGUGGAAAGAUUCUUCAGCGCAGGGAAGAGUGUGUUCCUGACCAGACGUCCAAGAGAACCUGACCUGUUUCCCAGAGGAGCAAGGUGGAGAAGGGUGUGGAAACCACACUACGUAUUUCUGUGGAAGUGA
rnacentral:lncRNA from 1 species